GCUUUGGAGAAGCUCAGGGCCUCCUUGCGCUUGAGCUUGGACUUGCCGCCGCUCGGGCCGGUGCCCGCGCCCCCGCCGGCCACCGCGGCCCUGGACAGGAAGCAGCGCUGCGCAUGCGCGUGCGCGUGGGGCCCGCCCCCCUUGGAGCGCAAGGCCUCGGGCUGGGCCAGGAGGGCGGGCACGGGGUGGGUGAGGCAGGUCUGCAGGAGCAGCGCCGGGUCCUCGUCGUCCGAGCUGUAGGACGAGCCCUCGUCGUCCGAGGAGCAGAGGCUGGAGGUGGACAGGGAGCCCGAGGAGGAGGAGGUGGUGGAGCCUGAGGAGGAGGACGACACGGACAGGCGGGCGAGGAAGCGGGAGGGCACGCCGGGGGCCAGCCCGGGCCCGUCCUCCUCGUCGUCCGAGUAGGAGCUGUGACAGUCGCUGUCGCAGGGCAGCGGGAACUCGGCCUGGCCCGCGAACUUGCGCAGCGCCAGCCCCAUGGGCAGCGGGUGCACGGGCGCCCGCCCCUUCCUGUCCUUGCCCACGAGGGCCGGGUGCGCGUAGCUGGGGCUGGGCAGGGGCCGCCCCAGCUUGGGCCCGAGGUCCUUGUCACCCAUGAGCAGCGCCUUGCAGUUCUUGUUCUUGGGGGAGGUCACGCCCUCGUGGUCCAGCUUGACCAGGAACUCGCCGCCCGCCCGCCGCCGCGCGCCCUUCUCGGCCUCGGCCCGCUCGGCCUUCUUGGCCCGCAGCAGCUUGUGGGCGCCCCCGGGCAGGCCCGGCCCGGCCCCGCCGACGAAGGGCGCGUACGAGCUGGCCAGGCUGCUGAAGGAGUCGGCCCGGAAACCGUUGCCGAACACGGGCGCGGCCACGCUGUGCACGGGGAACAGCGCCUCCCGGGCCCGCAGCUUCUUCGCGCUGCCGUUGAGCUGGAAGAGAUUCUGCAGCACGC
rnacentral:lncRNA from 1 species